rnacentral:rRNA from 1 species
CCUACGGGUGGCUGCAGUGGGGAAUAUUGGACAAUGGGGGGAACCCUGAUCCAGCCAUGCCGCGUGUGUGAAGAAGGCCCUCGGGUUGUAAAGCACUUUCAGUGAGGAAGAACGCCUGGUGGUUAAUACCCAUCAGGAAAGACAUCACUCACAGAAGAAGCACCGGCUAACUCCGUGCCAGCAGCCGCGGUAAUACGGAGGGUGCGAGCGUUAAUCGGAAUUACUGGGCGUAAAGCGCGCGUAGGUGGCUUGAUAAGCCGGUUGUGAAAGCCCCGGGCUCAACCUGGGAACGGCAUCCGGAACUGGCAAGCUAGAGUGCAGGAGAGGAAGGUAGAAUUCCCGGUGUAGCGGUGAAAUGCGUAGAGAUCGGGAGGAAUACCAGUGGCGAAGGCGGCCUUCUGGACUGACACUGACACUGAGGUGCGAAAGCGUGGGUAGCAAACAGGAUUAGAUACCCUUGUAGUC